UCUCUCUCUCUCUGUCAAAUAAAUAAGUAAAAUUAAAAAAAAAAUAAAACGUAUAAAAAAAAUGAGUAAAAUUGUUUUUGAGUAACAGUUUUUUUAUCUGAAUUAUCCAGAUAGUUUUCAUAAAUUGAUCCAAUUAAUUAUUCUUGUUCCUCAGUAAUUUUGCCCUUAUAGCAAAGUUUUAAUGAAUAAAGGAAAGGCUCAGGCUGCCUACCAAUUCCGUGCAUCAUGAAUGCUCAUGUGAAGAUCCUUAAAGCUGGUCUAUAUCAUAGAGGUAACUUGGAUAAGGGGAAGAAAUUUCCAUCCCAGCUUACAGGAAGCUAGCUGAGGAGAUCGUUGCCAAGCAACAGUGCUUCUGUUCCAUGGUACUCCCUAAUGACACCAGCCAUCUCUAUUCAGGUUAUGGGUAAGAUAGACAGGGCCAGGUUAUGGGAUGGGUUGCUGUGAUGGGAGGGGAACGAUAGUGUUGGCACUCCCAGGUAUUGGGUUUGCCUUUCUGAGCUUGAAGAAAUAUCUGAGGUGCACCAGAUUCUAACUCAGAGUUGGAAAAAAGAAAGUAGUUAGAACUUUGAUUUUUUUUCCUCCAAAGCUAUGUGGCUUUGAGAAAAAUCUAGAUGUCUUAUGAUCACAAGAAAAUCUCACUGUGCCAUUGGCCAUCUAAUGAGAGGGAGUGAUCAUAGGCAUUUUAAAAACAUCUCCAUUAAGUGAGAGACACCUUACUGAAAAGACCUGUCUUUAUAUUCUGUCUGGACUAGAGUCCUACUAUAUUAACCAAAAGUCCUGCUUUGAUCAUAUAUACAUCUUGCCAACACCCAAAGCUUCUCAAGGGAAAUAUCUUUCUGUCCUAGUAGACAGGUGACUGGAUAUACUGUGGUAAAGAGUGGUAUUUUUCAGUUAAGGCACAGUUUAUACAUUUUAAGAUAAUGUAUUGAAAUUAAGAAGGGACAGAAACAGAACUCUUACUAUAUUCUGGUUUGGAGGAGUCAAAAAUAAUUCCUAAUGACUUUGAGGUAGCACUGUGUAACAGGACUUGUGAGACCUGACUUCUUGUCCCAGCUGUUCUACUAAUGAGCUGUGUGACCUUGAGCAAAGUCAUUUAAGGUACCUUAAACCUUAGAUCUUCUUUGUGUGAAAUGAAAACAGUAAUAUCUGUCCUACUUACCUCACAGUGAAAUAAUAUAUAUAUAAAAUGUGCUUCUGGUGGUAGUCAGUAUAAAUCUUCAGGACAGAUGGGGGCACUUCCUUUGGAGAGGGCCUCUGCACUGCCUCUGCACUGCCAUGGGGUUGACACUUGGGAGGGAAGUACAGGUUGUCACAACCAAUCAUUUUCAAAUUCAUGGUCAGCUGUUCCUUUGAGACUUUUUAAACAAUAAAAAUGGAUUUUAUAGAUUAAAAUGUAGUAUAGCUCAGGUAAUAGUAGAUCCAACAAGUUGGUGGUUUGAAUUAUUAUGACCUAUCUGGACAGGGUUUUUUUGUUUUCUUAAAGACCUGACUUACUCAUAUGAUCUCCGUAAAAAUGCUCCUACAUUCUAAAGGUAGGCAAAAUUAAAUUUACACUGUUAGUAAGGGAAGUGUAUGUGAUAGAAUUUCACUUUUAAUAUUGAAUAUAAAUUAUGUGUAUUUGUAUACACAUGUUACAGCAAAUUGAGAUCUCAUAUACAGCCAGAAUGGGGUACAUAUUGACCCUGUUUUAUGAAUAUGGAAUUUUGAAGUCGUAAUAUUGGAUUUUCACCUACCUUGGCCCUAUCGGUGAUUUAUUGGACCUAAUACUCCCUUGGUCAAGACUCUUCAUCAUACUACUGGGAAAUGGGAAACAAUGGGAAAACACACUUAAAUUCCUAAUGAUCAAUUUAUAAAUUUUUUCCAGGAACUCACUGUUGUGAAGACUGACUGCUUGACUAUUUCUGGCUAACACUGCUUCGUGCAAGUAGAGAGUUGGAUACAUUCCUGCUCUGUGAAGAAGUACUUGAACAGGAGUUUGAAAGGUAAUCAGACAAAAUUCAAACAUCUCCAAAAUAGAAAACAGAUGAUGAAAGUCCACUGUAAUCCCACCUUCUAACCGUAUUACAGUCUGCAGUCUAACCCCUUUAGAAGUCCGUGGAAUAAUGAGCCUGAGUCUUUGGGUAUGGGAGACCUACACAGCACAGCUGCCUCGAUAUUCUGCUCUGAAAUCUUGGGUCUGGUUACAGAAAGGAAAGCUGAGGACGGGAACUAGAAGAAGGUUCUCUAGUCUUUUGAACCCAACUCCUCCUUUCUGGCUACAUUUUGCUUCUUAUCCAAGGCUGGAUCCAUUCCUGACCAGGGUCUUCUCUCUGUCUAUGUCUGCGGGAUUUCAACUUUAUAUAACCAGAUAGUAAACAGCUCCAACUGCAAGCCAGGGCACACCGGAAUGCCAGGCAUCAUGUGGGAAUGUGAGGGAAAAGCGCAUUCACCACCCAAAUCACUGCUGGAUCCAGAGAAAACUGCAAGCCUGGACCAGAGCAGCCCUGAGGAGAAACGAGCUGUAGACUGGGCGUCUGGCGGAAGGAGUUCCCUCUUCAGAGAGUGCAGGUUUGUGACACCAAAUACUCCAUUUAAAGUUCCUGGGAUGCUUGGAGCAAGUGGGAAGAAAAAGCAUCAAGGUCAUUGAACACCGAACAAGGCCAAGCGAAAACAAAAAGCAAACAAAACAUGGCCGCGGACCUCUGCAGAGUGAUCCGACUUACCUUGACCACAGCGAAAUCUUCAGGGUGCAGGUGAACACGGGACAAAGAGAACCAGGCAGAAGACAGGUGGUUCCUGGUGGGCAGGGUUGCAAGACCAAUGUCAUUCAACAUGCAGGACACGAUCCAGAGUAAUGUCACCAGAAGAGCCUCCUGGGCCCCUCACCUCAGACGGGAGGCGAGGGGCUGACCAGGCAGUGCCCACGAGUGGCCGUUUAAAUACAAAGACUCGUACCAUUUCUGAUCGUGUUUGGCCCGUGGUGGUUGGCUGUAAGCAAACUGCACCGAAUCCCAUGAAAGAUUUUUUUCAGGGUGUGUCUCUCGCCUUGGAAACUGGGAAAUCAAACUUAAAAGGAAAGAGGAAGACAAGUGACCUGCCAUCUAGAAAUCUCGGAGUCAGGCAGCACAGAGUGAAUGGGUGUUACUGGUAUCUCCAAGACUUCCCCUUGGCUCCAGUCAUCCCAGAGAACCUGGGAGAGAAGGAUUCCACCCCAUCCCCACCAUAAACCUGAGGCACGUACAGGUGGGCAAGAGAGCGUGGCCUUUCUCUCCUGCAUCGGUCAGUCAUUGGAUAUGGGCUGCCCUUGGAAGGAGCGUGACCUUGGAUGAGGCAGUAAUCUUCAACCAAUAUAAUCCUCAAAGAGGGUGGACAGCUGAGGCCUGUCAGCUGACAACCUUUGCGGCAUCUGGCGGAAUCAGGUUUCCAUUCCCAAAGGGGGACCACGUGGCAGAGCCCAGGGUCCCCAUGCACUGACUCCCCGAGGGUCCCCCUGCCCUGUUGUGCGCUCAAGGCUGAGGACCAUCAGAUUCCUUGGCCCCUUGUCUCUCCUCACUUAGACGAUGGUUGAAACAAUAAAUCAGCUUGAGUGUGUUGAGAAGUUCAUUUGUGCAACAUCUUUGAUAUUAGACAGGAAGACAAAUGUUUAUGUUGUUAUUAAUUAGUUUAUUUGAUUGAUUAAAAAGAAUGUUUAUUCAUCCGAGAUGCAAAAUUUUAAAUAUAUAUUUAAUACAUAUAUUUGAAAAUAGAAUAACGUAUUCUGAUAUUAUUAUUACUUCUAAAUGGAAUUCCCAAGGAAAAUGUUAAGAUCCCUGUUGUCUUUCAGAGCAAUAUGAACAUACCCCCAGACCACUGGGGAUUCGGAGACGGAAGUGGUUUUUGUAUCAAUGAAGACAAAUAAAGGCUGCAGCUGUCCCUGCUGUAACCCUAGCUCCAGCUGCUCACAUCUCUCCAUUGUCUCUGGACUUUCUCACUUCAGGAUCCCCGACUGUCCCGGCUGCUGUCACACAUUUCUUCCUGGACCCUCCACACACAUGCGGGUUAUAUUUGGAUGUGGAAAAGAGCCUUCCUGGUGGUGUCACAUGGCGCCCUCAAUGAUGUCCCACAGAGGAACCCCCUGACCUGGAAACACAGUUCCAGCCAGCCUCGGCAAAAAGGGAAAAGCUAAGAAUGAGGCUGAAUAACGGCAUGGAAAGGGCAGGAUGCAGCCAAGCCCAGCAUGGCAGAGCCAGGGACUGAGUGCUGCCAGCUUCUCGCUCGUCUUGGUCCUACGCUUUUCCUCUGUACCUCGACUCAAUCCCCUGUCAUUGCGGACCUGCUUCAUCCCGAGCUGGAUGAAAAAUGCUGGAAAGGACUUUUAUUCUCCUGCUUGCAUGUCGGUGCUGGCCCCUGCCCCACCCCCACCAGUCAGCUGGGGAGAUGAGGUUCAUGGAAGAACACGGAAGCUCCUAAGAUUUUUGUUGAGCAAAACUUCGAGACUGAGUGAGGGGCCAGAGCCUUCACUGACUGGGGAGAGGUGACCUAGAGGUCGGUAGAUGAAGGUGAAGAAAAAAGGCAAAGGGCACCUCGCACUCAGCAAAGUCCCAGAGGAGAAGAUCAGAUACUUACUUUCCUAGGCUCCCUUGCUGUCAAUCACCCGGCGUUCGAGCUGCGUUUGGCCAGUAGCACACCCUCCCUGCAGACUCUGAAGUUGAUUAUGUAAGGAGCAAAUGCUGUGUGAAACCAUUUAAGUGAGAGCGGCAGCAGCCUGGUCCACUUUCUCAGAUAGUGGCUGUCAAAAGGAUAUUAUGUCCCUCCUACGCCAGACCAACAGCACAUUCGUGGGCCAUUUGUCGAGUAAUGGUUCUGUGCCACCAAAGAGUCCCUGCGACACUCUUUACAUGUGCUCUCUCAUUCAACUGUCACUUCGAUUAUAUGAGGCGACUCUCCCCCAAAGCAGCGAAGCAGCGUGAGCUCUGCAUCUGAGAAGCGGCCCACAUGACAUACCCUGGAGCAGCAAUCACGUUAUCUUCUGAGAUCUUCCACUGAUGUCGCUCGCUGACAAGGAAAGGACUUGUGGUGGGGGAUCGUCAGGCCAAGCCCAAAGAGCUAUUGGUAUUAUGCACCCAGAGUCCUCAAGCUGUUGCAGAAAAUGAUAUCCCCAAAUUGGUAUAUCAUGAAGAGCCGAUCAAAGACUGAACAGUCAAAACUUCAGAAAAAUAGUAUUAGGAAGAUGCCAUAAAGUGAAUUAAUGAAAAAUAUUAUUUUCUGGAGAGUGCUUGUCAGAAUGCUCGCGGGCACCCUUGCCCUGGACGUGGAGGGGCACCUACAUCCGCUCCAGCUGCC